rnacentral:rRNA from 1 species
UACGUAGGGUCCGAGCGUUGUCCGGAAUUAUUGGGCGUAAAGGGCUCGUAGGCGGUUAGUCACGUCGGGAGUGAAAACUCAGGGCUCAACCCUGAGCGUGCUUCCGAUACGGGCUGACUAGAGGUAUGCAGGGGAGAACGGAAUUCCUGGUGUAGCGGUGGAAUGCGCAGAUAUCAGGAGGAACACCAAUGGCGAAGGCAGUCAUCUGGGCCAGUAUUGACGCUGAGGAGCGAAAGCGUGGGGAGCGAACAGG